AAAUAACUAACUUAAAUCAAACGUUAGACUUUAUCAACCAACGGAAAGUAUUGUAUACAACUGUCAUACUUCUGAUUUGGUUAAGGUAUUUAAUUUUAAAAAUCACGAUAAAUGUAUCCUUACUUUCUGUCAUUCGGUUGCCUUUGAUGGGGGUUACGAACUGAAUGUUCAAAAUUAACUUCUCUUAUCACUACGGUUUUUAUAGGAACUGUUCUUUCUGUAUUCUCAGUGACAAUACACAACUCGUCCAAUAAUAGUAUCUCCAUCUAUAACUUUGGCAAUUAUUUUCUCCCACAUAUUUAUUUUGAAAUAAUAACAUCCAUAUAUUACAAAAAACGUUAUAUAUAUCCCAAUAAUAAUUUCGCAAUUUAACAAGAUAAGAUAAGAUAAGAUAAGAAUUUUAGGAAUGUAACUAAAUAACAAACAAAAACCAACUAUACAAACAGGUUACAUAGAUAUUGUUUUUUUUUAAAUACGUGACAACAAGUCUUCUCCAAAAGUAGUGUUCAAAUCCUUAUGUUAAGAACAGAGAUUAAGAAGGAAAUACUGCUACCUCCAUUAUAUUUUCAUAUACUUGGUAAAUGUUAAUACGAUUGAUAAUAUUCUCUCAAAAUUCACGUGUUACGGUAACACAUGCAGCCGGGUAACUUGGUGAUUUUCGACAUGAUUUGUCCCCUAUUCACAAAAGUCAUUAUCAAUCCAAAUAUAGCGUGUAAUAUAUCGAAUAUGCUGACACAAAACAAAACUGACCGCACAGUAUUUGCUAAGUCUGAAAAAUCAAUAACUCUUUCAUUUUUUUCAUGUUCUAAACCAAUAUAGGUUGUAUAUAUCAGAAGCAGUACAUCGCUACAUAACAUCAGUACAUUUCCUACGCAUAUUAUAACGAAAAAUGGUAUUUUGACAUCUUUGGAACAUCUUAUAAAGACAUAGAACAUACGCGAAUGACAUGAUAGACAUGAAAAAAAGCUUAUGUAGCCACACCAAAGUAAAACAACCACAUGAAAAACUGUGUAUAUCUUGGUAAGAGUAGGACUGUGUAACCCUCCGUAAGAUAAAUCUCGGUCAAAUGAUAUGAAUUCCUUUAACGAAUGUUCAAAAAAUCCAUAAGACGUCCAUAUAAUCGUAUAUUCUGUUGCAGUUAUUAUUAUGUUGAUAUAAAAACGAAUCACUAUGAUAUGAAGAUAAUGAAAACGACGACACAAACGGUCAUUUUCCAGACAACGAGUAAGAACGAAUACAACCAGAUCGUAAGCAUCUCCAAAUUCAAACAUGUUGGAUCCAAGGCAAUUUCAAUAAGAAAGCAAUAUGUUAUACUGACGACGAUUCUAAUAGAAAUAAACUUCAAUGAG
rnacentral:lncRNA from 1 species